rnacentral:snRNA from 1 species
AACAUGGUGAUUGACUAUCUCUGUCUGAUU